GACGAACGCUGGCGGCGUGCUUAACACAUGCAAGUCGAACGAUGAAGCGGGUGCCUGCACUCGUGGAUUAGUGGCGAACGGGCGAGUAACACGUGAGUAACCUGUCCUUUUCUUUGGGAUAACGGCUGGAAACGGCUGCUAAUACUGGAUAUUCAGGCUGCAUCGCAUGGUGUGGUUUGGAAAGGUUUUUUCUGGGAUUGGGUGGGCUCGCGGCCUAUCAGCUUGUUGGUGGGGUGAUGGCUUACCAAGGCUUUGACGGGUAGCCGGCCUGAGAGGGUGGUCGGUCGCACUGGGACUGAGAUACGGCCCAGACUCCUACGGGAGGCAGCAGUGGGGAAUAUUGCACAAUGGACGAAAGUUUGAUGCAGCGACGCCGCGUGGAGGGUGUAGGCCUUCGGGUUGUGAACUCCUUUUUCUCGCGAAAAAGGCACAGUUUUGGCUGUGUUGAUGGUAGUGGGGGAAGAAGCGCCGGCUAACUACGUG
rnacentral:rRNA from 1 species